GCCAGUGUGGCACAGUAGUUUGAGUGUUGGACUACGACUCUGGAGGCCAGGGUUCAAUUCCUAGCUUGGCCA
rnacentral:tRNA from 1 species